GGACAACCAUCUCAAGCACUUAACUUCUCUGUAAUGCAAAUUGAAACUGUCUGCAGUGUGAAACAUGGAGCGACUAUGAAAACAACCUGUCUGCCAUUUAAUAAAACGAAGAAAGAUGUUGACCGAUUUGCAGGAACUGCAGAGCCUACACCGAACAUGGCCUGUCUACUUUGAAGCCUGGAUUCAUAGAAGGAAAG